CGCUUUCCUUGUCAGGCUGUUUUGGAAAAUAACUCAAAUAUGAAUAUUUGCCUCUAGUUUAAGGCAACAGCUUGUUUUAUACGUACUUGUGGAGCUGGCAAUGAAGUAAACCCAGAGCCUGUUCCUCCGCCGAAUGAAUGGAAUACUAAAAAUCCCUGAAGACCAGUGCACUGAUCAGCAAGCUUACGGAUACGAUCUAGUACUAUAUCCACAAUUUCCUUUCCUAUUGUAUAAUGACCACGGGCGUAGUUGUUGGCUGCAUCCUCCUUGCCAGUGAUCAACUGUUCGGGGUGGAAGAGCUGUCGAUAUGUACCAGUACGAACUUCAUCAACAACAGUUGGCUCUAAGUCAACGAAAACUGCACGUGGCACGUGCUUACUGGCACUAGUUUCACUAAAAAAAGUAUUAAAGGAGUCAUCCCCGCCACCAAUUGUUUUAUCAGAGGGCAUAUGUCCAUCAGGCUGAAUUCCAUGCUCUAGGCAAUAUAAUUCCCAGCAAGCGUUACCAAUCUGAACUCCAGCUUGCCCUAUAUGAACUGAAAUGCACUCCCUCUAUAACAAAAGAAAAUAAAGUUCAGUUCAGUAGACCGUGUAACAUCACUAUAAA